AACGAACGCUGGCGGCAGGCCUAACACAUGCAAGUCGAACGCUCGUAGCAAUACGAGAGUGGCAGACGGGUGAGUAACACGUGGGAACCUUCCCUAUGGUUCGGAAUAGCUCAGGGAAACUUGGGGUAAUACCGGAUAAGCCCUUCGGGGAAGAUUAUCGCCAUUGGAUGGCCCGCGUCGGAUUAGCUAGUUGGUGAGGUAACGGCUCACCAAGGCAACGAUCCGUAGCUGGUCUGAGAGGAUGAUCAGCCACACUGGGACUGAGACACGGCCCAGACUCCUACGGGAGGCAGCAGUGGGGAAUAUUGCGCAAUGGACGAAAGUCUGACGCAGCGACGCCGCGUGUGGGAUGACGGUCUUCGGAUUGUAAACCACUGUCGGGAGGGACGAAU
rnacentral:rRNA from 1 species